GCCGCGAACGGGCAAACCCGCCGAAAGGCGGGGGCGCAAAGCCACGGGUCUACCGCGCGGCGGGAGCGGAAGGCGGCGACGGGCAGCCGCCGCGCCUCCGGCCCCGCCGGCUACGACGGCCGGGCUGCCGAA
rnacentral:ncRNA from 1 species